GGAAAAUGCUGGUAACAAUGGCAUUCUUAAUUCUGAUUCUAAUGAUUCAAUUUAAGAUGAGGCGCAACCACAAGGCUCCACACCAGAGAGUGAGGUAGAGCAUACUGAGCCACAUCAGACAGAGCAUGUGCGAUUGUCAGUAGACCGCAGGUAGAGCGAGGGGAGACUGUCCACCGUUAAUACACCUGGGCGGCCCGACCAAGUAAAGUCGAUGUGUGGGAAACACUGCUUGAUCCUUUGUAACCUCACCACUUCCACUACUGAAGUAGCUCCCCUUUUUGGAACCAACUCAACCGUGGAGCCGGUAGCAAUGUUACUUUCGCUUUCAGCCAUGCUUGUUGUUGCUGUGCACAACAUCAUUAUGUCAACAAGUCGAAAUGUUGCCAUUAUCACAAUAUGAUUUUUUUUUCAUAUUAAAAAUGAUACAGGUAUUAUCAUGAACGAUGUGAUAUGACACACCCCUGCUCAUGACUGUACCCUGAAUAUGAAGCUUCAGCCUGCAGUGCCUGCGAAGAGUUUAUGGGCCGUACAUCAGUUGUAUCAGGUGAUGCAUCUAUGAGAGCUACUUGGAGUUAUCCAUCUUCCCACUGCCAGGCAGAAAGGUUAUGCUUAAAAUUAUGUAACACCAUGACUGAGAGAGAAAAGAAGACACAGAAAGACAUUAACUGUUACAACCAGAUACUGCAGUUUUUUUAAUUAUUCAGAAACCUCUCGUUUUAGAGAAUCAUGUUAUCCCUGUGUAUUACAGUAUAAACUGUAGAGUGAAAUCACAGAGCUCAUUCUUUUGAAUCUGAAGAGUAAGUGAGCAACAGCAGCAGACACUCAAUAUCUCCCAGCACAUGUAAUCCAAUAACGUCUUGUACGGACAGAAUCAGGGAGGGAGCGGCUGUGGGUGUAAAUCUACCAGUCUCUGAUUGCUUAGCUACACCACACGCUGUAUAAGACACACACACACAACACACACAUAUCCAUUGCUGAGGAGUAAAGUCAGAGUUUGGAUUCCUUUGAAUGCAAAAUAAGCAUAAAGACAACAAUGAACCUGAUUAAAAACACUUGAUAAUACUUCGGCACGGAUGAGGUGACUUAUUUAGAUCUGUUCUGAAGAUACACUUCAGUCUGUUGGUUUACUGUAAAUGGAGUUUUUAUUUUUUAUUAGGAGAGCUGAUGAUUUAUUUGUAGACUGUGUGUGUGCCCAGAAUAUAUUUACAGCGCAAGCUUGAUUCUUGCCACAAAACAUUAUUUUCAUUAGGACAUUUGGUACAGUAAAUACUGUAUUGUUUGUGAACAGGCCUACUGUGUUCUAAAUUCGAUUAAUUUCAUGUAUUGUUUUUUAUGUGUAUUUCUUAUUGUUAUUAAAGAGAUAUGGAAUGACAGCUGUCAGUGAAGAGCUAUGGAACCCAGGUGGUAUUAUGAAAUGUCAUAAGCUUGGGUUUUUAAAUAUGAUUGAUGGUGUGAUAUUAAGGAUUAAGAAAGACACCAACAGUGCCAUUUCUGGGCAUUUUGGUGCCCUAGGGGAUCUAUCUUUUCACAGCCAAAUAUUUUAAUAUUUUAGUUUGUAUUUAAUCACAUAGUCUGUCAAUUAGUACUUUUAGAUGUACACUAGUGUCGCUGUUGUGACUUAUGGUUUUAAUCAUAUUUAGGAUAAGAUAAGCAACAUGAUUGCCGUGCAGGAGUGUCUCUGACUCCUCAACUGCUGAUGUGCAGGUAUUAUCAGUAUCUGACUUUCACAUAUGGAUGUUCUGACCAUGUCUUAGGAUCCAAUAUUUAAUUUAAUUCAUUUUUUUUUCA